rnacentral:lncRNA from 1 species
GGAUGAGGCUGCCAGAGGAGGCAUUCACAAGGAGCAGAGAGGGAGGCUCCAUGCUGGGCCCAGGAGCAGCAAGUGGAGAGCCUGGAGGUGAGGAGGCAUGGAGCUCUGCACCCAACCUGCCAGGCAGGGCCCAGGGCAGGCGGGGAGGCGAGGGGAGGCCGGAUAGCAGGGAAUCUUCCUGGGGCAUCUGGGCCCAUCCUGAAGCCUCUAGGGAGCCGUAGAAGGUCUGAAGCAAGAGUGACCCCCGACGCGCCUGUGUGAGAAAACACAACUCAGAGAGGUGGACUCACCUGUUCAGUUCACCAGCUAGUAACAGACGCACAAGGCACCGGAACAGGGGCUCCGAACCGGGCCUCCGCGGCGCCAAAAAGCACAUCUUCUGUCUUCCUCAGCCCCACCUGAAGUUGAGCGUUUCCUCCCAUGACGAAUGUGGGCCACAAACGCUGUUACGGCGCCCGGGAUCAUGGGCUUACAAACGUCCCUGUUUGCACACUGCACCACAGUUCUGACAGUUAUUUCGAAAUUCUGCUCCUGCUCCUCACGUCUUCCAAAUGGCGGUCAUCACGACCUGCCACUAGAUCUUGCUAGUUCGCGUGUUAGCAAUGAAACACACAUACAGCUCUAGCACGAUUUGUAUAACUAUUUCAAUAUCAUUGGUUUACUUUGUAAUCCUUUGGUUUUUUAUCCUAGGCUUCUGAAAACAUUGUUCUGAAAAGGGUCCACAGGCUCCCUAUCAUCCCGAGAUGAGAGAAAGCUGACCUAAAAGAUGGGCUCCUUCCACCACUCCUCAGUUCUUCAGCCGACACGGCCCAUCCAGGUCCCUGGGGUUUGAUGGACGGGGGCCCUACUGCGCGUAAGGCUCUCGGGGAAGAAUACAGGACUUCUUGUUUUCCCUCAGUCAACACCACAUGGACACGUCAGCUUCAGCCCCUGAGUUUUCAGCAUGGCCCCUAAUUGAAUCACAUUUGUCUUUGUCAGGCCAUGGGUCCCAGACAGGGGCUCAGACACCGUGGCCACAGAACACAGGAACUCCUCAGGUGCAUGACUAACCCUCGAGCAACAGCCAGGAGCUGACAGUGCGUGCAGCUUUGAAGGAGGAGAGACAGUCCACAGGCAGAGGAGAGACAAGGCCCAGGGUGGAGGUCCUGCACCCCGAAUAUUUGCGUCGCCACAGAUGC